CUAAUGCUGCUAAUGUACUGCCUACUGUGUAUGUGUAUGACUGCCAUCUAAAGUACAGAACAUCAGACCAGCUCAGCAAGGGAGACAGUUGGAACUGACAUGGCUGAGGACUAAGCCACAGGAGGAGGAAGCUGCUGCCCAGAGAGAGAGAGAGGGAACUACCACACCAUGCACAGCUGCAAGGAGAAAACUACUGGAGGGAAGAAAUCACCAAGAAUACAAUUUCAAUGUGAGAAGCUACAAAAAAGAACUG